AAAAGUUUGUCACACUAGUGACCUACUCUUGUGCAUUGUUUAACCGCUUUGGCAGUUUAGUUUCUAGUCUUCUGGAAACGUCCGAUCUUUACGGAUCGGGGGCUGCCAAUAGAUGUGCAAAAUCUCUUGCGCAUUCUUAAACAAAAACACUAUAUUUCUUUUUACUAAAGUCUGAUACAAUAAAUGUGAUUUUAAUCAUAAAUUUAUUAA
rnacentral:misc_RNA from 1 species